UACGUAGGGUGCGAGCGUUUAAUCGGAAUUACUGGGCGUAAAGGGUGCGCAGGCGGCUCCGCAUGUCGGGCGUGAAAGCCCCGGGCUUAACCCGGGAAUGGCGUCCGAAACUAUGGAGCUGGAGUGUGGCAGAGGGAGGUGGAAUUCCACGUGUAGCGGUGAAAUGCGUAGAGAUGUGGAGGAACACCGAUGGCGAAGGCAGCCUCCGUGGGCCAACACUGACGCUCAUGCACGAAAGCGUGGGGAGCAAACAGG
rnacentral:rRNA from 1 species